rnacentral:rRNA from 1 species
GACGAACGCUGGCGGCGUGCUUAACACAUGCAAGUCGAACGGUGAAGGGGUCUGCUUUUGUGGGCCCUGGAUGAGUGGCGAACGGGUGAGUAACACGUGAGUAACCUGUCCCCUUCUUCUGGAUAACCGCAUGAAAGUGUGGCUAAUACGGGAUAUUCUGGGUCUGUCGCAUGAUGGGUCUGGGAAAGAUUGCGCCUUUGGGUGUUUUUGGUGGGGGAUGGGCUCGCGGCCUAUCAGCUUGUUGGGGGGGUGAUGGCCUACCAAGGCGGUGACGGGUAGCCGGCCUGGGGGGGUGGACGGUCACACUGGGACUGAGACACGGCCCAGACUCCUACGGGAGGCAGCAGUGGGGAAUAUUGCACAAUGGGCGCAAGCCUGAUGCAGCGACGCCGCGUGAGGGAUGGAGGCCUUCGGGGUGUAAACCUCUUUCGCCAGUGAAGCAGGCCUGCUCCGUGUGGGUGGGUUGACGGUAGCUGGAUAAGAAGCGCCGGCUAACUACGUG